UACGUAGGUGACAAGCGUUGUCCGGAAUUAUUGGGCGUAAAGGGAGCGCAGGCGGUUGGAAUAGUCUGAUGUGAAAGCCCACGGCUUAACCGUGGAAGGUCAUUGGAAACUGUCCAACUUGAAUGCAGAAGAGGUAAGUGGAAUUCCAUGUGUAGCGGUGAAAUGCGUAGAUAUAUGGAGGAACACCAGUGGCGAAGGCGACUUACUGGUCUGUGAUUGACGCUGAGGCUCGAAAGCGUGGGUAGCGAACAGGAUUAGAUACCCUGGUAGUCCACGCCGUAAACGAUGAGUGCUAAGUGUUGGAGGGUUUCCGCCCUUCAGUGCUGGAGUUAACGCAUUAAGCACUCCGCCUGGGGAGUACGACCGCAAGGUUGAA
rnacentral:rRNA from 1 species